UUUUGGAAGUAAACCCGAAUUCACGUUUUGGUCGGUCACCUAUUAUAUACCCUGUAACCGGUAUCCCUAGUGUUCCUUCCUUUCUGCUCCCUAUUAUGACCUUGGUCCCCUGUGGAGUCAGAUUUUCCUGAGUUGAUUUACCUUUUUCAGGUCUUCCUCAAAUGUUUUUGGUUGAUUGAUAUCUCUCACCCUUAUACCAGUCUUA
rnacentral:lncRNA from 1 species